rnacentral:rRNA from 1 species
UGGGGAAUCUUGGACAAUGGGGGCAACCCUGAUCCAGCCAUGCCGCGUGGGUGAAGAAGGCCUUAGGGUUGUAAAGCCCUUUCAGUCGUGACGAUGAUGACGGUAGCGACAGAAGAAGCCCCGGCUAACUCCGUGCCAGCAGCCGCGGUAAUACGGAGGGGGCUAGCGUUGUUCGGAAUUACUGGGCGUAAAGCGCGCGUAGGCGGUUUGGUAAGUUGGGCGUGAAAGCCCGGGGCUCAACCCCGGAGGUGCGUCCAAAACUGCUCGACUAGAGACCGAGAGAGGGUGGUGGAAUUCCCAGUGUAGAGGUGAAAUUCGUAGAUAUUGGGAAGAACACCGGUGGCGAAGGCGACCACCUGGCUCGGCCCUGACGCUGAGGCGCGAAAGCGUGGGGAGCAAACAGGAUUAGAUACCCGGGUAGUCC